rnacentral:lncRNA from 1 species
CCUGAGGCUCAUGGAAAUGUACGCUCUGAAAGGACAGCCCAGCACGGGACGUUUACCCAGGGCGGACCCCGGUACACUGGGAACCCCAGUCCCUGGAAAUGGACCCGGAUUCUCUGGAGCUAAGGGCCCUUGGCAAAGGGAGCCUGUGCCUUGAGCACGUCUGGACACAAAGGAUGAGGUAAGCGGGUAGCGUGUCUCAGUCCCCGGCCAAUGCUGGAGCAGUGGGUGCAAGGGCUGCC